rnacentral:rRNA from 1 species
GACGAACGCUGGCGGCGUGCUUAACACAUGCAAGUCGAACGGAAAGGCCCUGCUUUUGUGCGGUUCUCGAGUGGCGAACGGGUGAGUAACACGUGAGUAACCUGCCCUUGACUUUGGGAUAACUUCAGGAAACUGGGGCUACUACCGGAUAGGAGCUCCUGCUGCAUGGUGGGGGUUGGAAAGUUUCGGCGGUUGGGGAUGGACUCGCGGCUUAUCAGCUUGUUGGUGGGGUAGUGGCUUACCAAGGCUUUGACGGGUAGCCGGCCUGAGAGGGUGACCGGCCACAUUGGGACUGAGAUACGGCCCAGACUCCUACGGGAGGCAGCAGUGGGGAAUAUUGCACAAUGGGCGGAAGCCUGAUGCAGCAACGCCGCGUGCGGGAUGACGGCCUUCGGGUUGUAAACCGCUGUCGCCUGUGACGAAGCGUGAGUGACGGUAAUGGGUAAAGAAGCACCGGCUAACUACGUG